rnacentral:rRNA from 1 species
AGAGUUUGAUCCUGGCUCAGGAUGAACGCUGGCGGCGUGCCUAAUACAUGCAAGUCGAGCGAACGGACGAGAAGCUUGCUUCUCUGAUGUUAGCGGCGGACGGGUGAGUAACACGUGGAUAACCUACCUAUAAGACUGGGAUAACUUCGGGAAACCGGAGCUAAUACCGGAUAAUAUUUUGAACCGCAUGGUUCAAAAGUGAAAGACGGUCUUGCUGUCACUUAUAGAUGGAUCCGCGCUGCAUUAGCUAGUUGGUAAGGUAACGGCUUACCAAGGCAACGAUGCAUAGCCGACCUGAGAGGGUGAUCGGCCACACUGGAACUGAGACACGGUCCAGACUCCUACGGGAGGCAGCAGUAGGGAAUCUUCCGCAAUGGGCGAAAGCCUGACGGAGCAACGCCGCGUGAGUGAUGAAGGUCUUCGGAUCGUAAAACUCUGUUAUUAGGGAAGAACAUAUGUGUAAGUAACUGUGCACAUCUUGACGGUACCUAAUCAGAAAGCCACGGCUAACUACGUGCCAGCAGCCGCGGUAAUACGUAGGUGGCAAGCGUUAUCCGGAAUUAUUGGGCGUAAAGCGCGCGUAGGCGGUUUUUUAAGUCUGAUGUGAAAGCCCACGGCUCAACCGUGGAGGGUCAUUGGAAACUGGAAAACUUGAGUGCAGAAGAGGAAAGUGGAAUUCCAUGUGUAGCGGUGAAAUGCGCAGAGAUAUGGAGGAACACCAGUGGCGAAGGCGACUUUCUGGUCUGUAACUGACGCUGAUGUGCGAAAGCGUGGGGAUCAAACAGGAUUAGAUACCCUGGUAGUCCACGCCGUAAACGAUGAGUGCUAAGUGUUAGGGGGUUUCCGCCCCUUAGUGCUGCAGCUAACGCAUUAAGCACUCCGCCUGGGGAGUACGACCGCAAGGUUGAAACUCAAAGGAAUUGACGGGGACCCGCACAAGCGGUGGAGCAUGUGGUUUAAUUCGAAGCAACGCGAAGAACCUUACCAAAUCUUGACAUCCUUUGACAACUCUAGAGAUAGAGCUUUCCCCUUCGGGGGACAAAGUGACAGGUGGUGCAUGGUUGUCGUCAGCUCGUGUCGUGAGAUGUUGGGUUAAGUCCCGCAACGAGCGCAACCCUUAAGCUUAGUUGCCAUCAUUAAGUUGGGCACUCUAAGUUGACUGCCGGUGACAAACCGGAGGAAGGUGGGGAUGACGUCAAAUCAUCAUGCCCCUUAUGAUUUGGGCUACACACGUGCUACAAUGGACAAUACAAAGGGCAGCGAAACCGUGAGGUCAAGCAAAUCCCAUAAAGUUGUUCUCAGUUCGGAUUGUAGUCUGCAACUCGACUACAUGAAGCUGGAAUCGCUAGUAAUCGUAGAUCAGCAUGCUACGGUGAAUACGUUCCCGGGUCUUGUACACACCGCCCGUCACACCACGAGAGUUUGUAACACCCGAAGCCGGUGGAGUAACCUUUUAGG